rnacentral:rRNA from 1 species
AUACAUGAGCAAAAUCUCAACUUUAUUAGAAGAGACGCAUUUAUUAGAUAAAAAGCCAAUGCAUGCUUUUACAGUAUGGAAAUUGGUGAUUUAUAAUAACUUGGCAAAUCGCAAAGUGAAAACAGGCGAUAAAUCAUUCAAGUUUCUGACCUAUCAGCUUUCGACGGUAUGGUAUUGGCUUACCGUGGCAGUGACGGUUAACGGGGGAUUAGGGUUCGAUUCCGGAGAGGGAGCCUGAGAAACGGCUACCACAUCUAAGGAAGGCAGCAGGCGCGCAAAUUACCCAAUUCUAACAGUUUGAGAGAGGUAGUAACAAGAAAUAACAAUACAAGGCAAUUAAAAUGCUUUGUAAUUGGAAUGAUAGAAAUUUAAACCCUUUUUAAAGUAUCAAUUGGAGGGCAAGUCUGGUGCCAGCAGCCGCGGUAAUUCCAGCUCCAAUAGCGUAUAUUAAAAUUGUUGCAGUUAAAAAGCUCGUAGUUGAAGUUCUGCUAAAAGUAACCGGUCUGCUUUUAAUAAAAGUGGUAUCUUGGUGUGUAUUUAGCAAUGAUGUCCUUUGAAGUGUUUUUUACUUUAUUGUAAUAAAGCAUAUUCAGGACUUUUACUUUGAGAAAAUUAGAGUGUUUCUAGCAGGCCGACGCUUUGAAUACUGCAGCAUGGAAUAAUAAG